rnacentral:lncRNA from 1 species
UUUUUUUUUUUUUCUUGAUAAACCAGCAAAAUGUGAUACUAAAAAGACUAGUACAUAAGUUUUAUACAUCAUAAAAUAGAUGGUUAUAUAUAAACUGGGGUGGUUAUAGCCACCAGGAAGAACCAAAUUUUCCCAAAAAAGCGAGCCGAGAUCAGCAGGCACAUGUGAAGCGAUUGCUUGAAUGGGAGCUUCUAAUGUUUUGUCAGUAACAUGCACUAAAUGCCAUCUUACCCAUUUGCCUAUAAGACAAUUUUCCUGUUCUUAAACAGACCAACUUUUUCACGUAGUAAUGUAUUAAGCGCGAGGCAAAGUGUAUAUAAGUUAACAAGCUGUGGAGAUUCUGCUGAAAGCAAUGUUAGCAAGUUCAACUGAAACAAAAGGAAAUCAAUCAAGGAGCAUCUGCUACUACAGUAGUUUUAUUCUGGUAUAGAACAACGUAACUACUACUACAGUAGUUUUAUUUAUAGAAAAGUUGGCAUUCUGCUUGCCUGCCGGCCGUCUGUCUUGAUGUCCUGUGGGCUGUGGAUGACACUUAAAAGUUUUAUAUUUUCGCAAAAUGCUUUAUUUGAUUGGAUGAAGAAUGUGCUAUUGCAUUAUUACUGUUUUUAGUUGAGAGUUGAGACAUGACUGUCAAACAGCUGCUGUGAACUCUUAAUCCACAGAUCAGGUCAGAAGCAAGGAGUGUAUUAGAAAAAAAGAAAAUAAUCCCACCCGAACCAAACAGACCCUUAACUAUUUAACAGAUCACUCUUAUUUAGUAUUUUUAUUUUUUUUAGCGUACAUGAGAAGUUUGAAUGGUUUUGUUUGUUACUGUAACAACGUUGGCCCCGCAUUUUUUUUUUUUUUUAAUAAACAGAAGACUACUGGAACCUUGCUUUUAGCAAAACUGUCAACCUUCAAUUAUUUUUUCAUGUUCUUGAGCUACCCUCUAUUGUUACUGGAAAGAGUUCAAGAAAGAAAUAUUUCUUGAGACUUGAGAGUUUUAAUGGCAGGACCAAAGUUGAAAUUGAUAGUGGAAAAAGUUGUAAGAUUAGAAGGAGAAACACAAACACUACUACAACGGAAAGAUGCAGGAUUAACUACUACUCGAUUUGGAAGAGUUGUUAGAGGUAAAUAUUUUACUAACAACAACUUUACUACUAGUAGUAGUAGUAUUAUUAAAGAUGCUGGAAAUAUUUCUUCUUCUAAACAUUAUUUGUCAAUUGAAUUCAAAGAUAUGAAAUGGGUUGUUUCUAAUUGUGAUCUUGAUACAUUAAAUUCAAAUGGUAGUACAUUUUUGAAUGAAAUUCAAAUUAAUCAAGGAAAUAAAGAUAUUGAGCUUAAAAAUGGUGAUAUUAUUAAAUUUGGUGAUAAACAACUUACUUCUAUUAAAGUUUGUAUUGAUGAUGAUGUGGAGGAAAGUGAGUUGGAGGUGAAGAAACAAACAAAGGGAGUUGAGAUUGUAGGAAAAGGAGUUGGAGGAGUAGUAGAAACAGUUGAUAAUGUUAAGGAAGUGAAGAGAAAACGCGGGCGUCCUAAGAAACAAGUUCUCGAAUCUAGUCUAGUUACUGAGAAUAAAGAUGAUUCUGUUCAGGUUGAGAAUGUUAAGGAAUUGAAGAGAAAACCCAGGCGUCCCAAGAAACAAGUUCUGGAAUCAAGUCUACUUACUAAGACUAAUCCUGCUUUUGGUCAGGUUGAGAAUGUUAAGGAAGAUGAUUUGGAAAGUGGUGUUGGUCAGGUUGAAAAUGUUAAGGAAGGUGAUUUGGAAAGUGGUGUUGGUCAGUCGAGAAGAUAUCAAAUAUGUGGUGCUGUGACAAAGGAACAACAAGCUCCAGAAUCUAGUUUAACACCGGUUAAUAAAAAUCAGGAGUUUUGUGGAAGAGGGAAGACUGAUGUAGAGAAGAAACAAGAGGAGGCAUCUGUUGCAGAGAGUCAGGAUAGUGGAAAUGGUCAAAGAGGGUUGAAUACAGCUUCAAAGGAUGAAGUUCUAGAAAAUGUUGAUGUGUCCGAGAUGCAGAUGGUCGCAAACAAUGAAGUUUUGGAAAGUUCUCAUUAUUCAAAAGGUGAAUCUUCUCAGUCUGUCCCAGUUAGUGCCCCUGAAGCUCCCAACGUUCAAGAGAUGUUGACCCUGGCGAAACUGCAGAAAAUGACUUUGGGAGAACGGAUUGAUUAUAUAGAGGUUUGUAACAAAGCUGAUAAGAUUAUUGAGGAAAUGAGAAACGGAGCUGAGCAAAUUAAAAAAUUGAUGGACGAGCAGCGAAAUUAAAACUUAAAACAAAGCGCACUUUGUCUUAGUUGAUGGUGGUUUACCAUUUCAAACUUGCAUGUAUAUCUGUCAAGCAAGAAGGUUUAAGGUAGGUAAGUCUACAUCUCUCUAAAGAAGCAGUGAUUGAAGAUUAUACAAUAACUGCUCUCCUUUUCUUCAACCCUUCCAUAUAGCCGGUAUGCCUAAAUGCCAACUUAUUCUUUUGUAGAUGAAUUCAGGCUAAGUAUUAGUUUCUUCCACUGUAUUUUGCUUGUGUUUUUAGACUGAGAACCACACUUACUGAUGCCAUAUGUUGUUUACCAAGUAAUCUAAUAAAAUUAUCUUCAGGGUUUGAACUUUAUCACUUUUUGUUUUUUGUUUUUUUUUUUUUUUGAUUGGCAAGCAGGGUUGAGGGGACCCUUACCCCUUUUAAAUUACGUGUGGAAACUUAUAUCAACAAUCAGCUGUUGACGUGUUUCGAACCCACAACCUCUCCACUUUGUGAGAGGGGUGCUACCAUUGAGCCACAGGCCCAUUCACCACUUUUUCUAUUUUCUUGUGCUCAUUGAACUUCUUUGCUUACAACUCUUAUAUAAUUAUGAUACCAUACAACUAAUUUGUAAGUACAAACUUCAUUAGUCACAGUAAUUAUACAGUAAUACAUUACCAACAUGACGCAACCUAGGUCAUGGAAUAUGUAAAUUAUCUUCAGAAGGUACGCAAAGUGAUCUGCAGCUUACUGUCUGCGUCUUUAAUGAUUCUGAAUUCUGAUUGAGAGAGGGAGGGCAGGACAAUGUGAUCAUAUGAGGCAGAUUUUGAUUUUCGUUGCAAACCCCAGUUUGUGUUAUGCAGACCUAUCAGAUUUAUUGAAAAAAGUUUCAACGUUAUCAUAGGCUUAUUGUAUGAAGUUUCAAAGUUUCAAUAGCAGCAACGAUGAUACGAACGCUCUUUGAACUAGUCAACUAGCAACAAUGAGGUUUGCAGAUUAUGGUUCCCAUCAGACAUACUAUUAGUUAGAGCUAUAAAUGGUCCUGCGGAUGAAAGCUCUUCAAAAUCUAGGGACAAUUUACAUCUUCAUUCUUCUCAUUGAGAAUUGCUUGAAAGUUCUUAUCAAUUUUGUCAAAAACAUGAAUGAACCUUGUGUCCACAACUUAGGUGAUCUUGGAAAUCGUUCCACGGGAUCUCUCAGAUCUCCUCUUUGAAGGUUACCUAUAUUUACUAUUGAUUCUGUAGGCUAUUAUAAUUGUGUCGACAAUUGUGUUCUAAAGACUUCAUGCUAGAGCAUUUGGCCGAAAUCCCAUGGCACAACAUAUAAAGAGAGAUUAUCGAUAACCACCCCACCCCAAACAUUUUUAUGUCACAAGAAAUUUUGGUCAUGCUUCACUGGUGUGAAUAGCUAUAAUAGUCUGACACCGAUGAAGGUCUGUAAACGAAUGCCAGAGGAUAUUUUUGAUUGUGAAAGGUAAGGGAUCUUUCAAAAUCUGCUCAAGCAGGCUUUCUGCUACAAUAUAUGGCAAACAGAGAAAGACAAGCAGAAUCACUGAAGAUAGUAUAGUGAGAAAACCUUAAGCCUAGCGAGCGGGUAACAUUCAAACAAACGGCAACCAUUCAGGCAGUAAAAAGAGUUCAUAUAACUUCAUAAAGUAGAAUUAAAAGCAAAAGGUGGCAUUUUAAUAUAUAAAUGAAAAUAAUGACAACAUUACCAAGAUGGGAAACAGGGAAAGAUAACAAAUUAACAACUCCCCAACUCUCAACAACAAUAGGAUGUCCAUAGAAAACCAUCCUGCCUGUUGGUGUUUCAAAACAAAAGAGAAUAAGAAGCAGUACCAACAAUGAUUUAGAGAAAGAAGCAAUAAAUCGAGCAUAUAUAGAUUCAAGGAAACCAUGGUGAAUUAAAAUUCUGGGCAAGUAUUCAUCAGUAAACAUAUCUUUUAGUUUCAUCAUGUUGGUACUUGGUAGAACCAAAGCCUUACGUUUGGCUGCAACUCAGAGUUUAAAACAAUGUUUCCACCUCACUCCUAAGUAGUAUAUACAGAUAAUUUACCUAUGUAAUAAGAUACCAAACACACUAGCUAGUAGCUACUCUUGAGUCGUCUGUAUAAUUUUGAACCUGCUUAGUCCAUAUCAAAGCCCUCAGUCAUCAUCAGCAAUUCCACCAUUCUAGCACCAUCAUUUAAUUUGGUAGUUUUAGCCUUUUAGGACCUUAAUGCCAUCAACACAUCUCUUCAACAAAUCCCCUUACAAAUCAAGAUGGAAACAAUCUCAAAGAUCAAGAUACUCUAAAUGGGGACAUCCAUCAAAGAAUGGCUUGCAAUCCAUCAUUAGUCAUGCAUCCUGUUUCCAACAAGACUAAGAAAGUGCAAUCCUGGCAUAUUGUUUGCAACAGCAUAAGCCUCCUUGUCAUUGUAGAUACAAAAGGAAACAUGAUCCCGAUCAAAUCGAAAAGAUUUCAGUAAAGGGCAAGAAAGAACCCCACAGUUGCAAUUGUCUUUUCAGUUAAUGAAUUUUUUUUCCACUGCAAGCACCUCUAAAUCUCUAACAGAGGGUUGUCCUUGACUAGCUAACUAGCUUAACUAGCGCGCAAUCUGGAAUAAAUUCCCAUGAUGUUACAGAUUCAUCCAAGAGAAGAUCAAAAUACUCCAUGGAUUUUUUUUUAUUUCAAUGCAACGAUAGAUAGGCUCUUUGGUGAGUUUAUACCCUGAAGCACAAACGAAUUUAGCACAAAGAUCUUGUAAGCAAGACCAUUUGCGACCAAAAGAAAAAUGAUUUAACAUGCUCAUGAGGCUUAGUAUGCUCCUGAGGCUUCAUACUAAGGUAGCUUUACAACGUUUGUCAAAUUUCAAGAUAAACACGUAUUAUAAGCUUUUACUGGAGUAGCUGGUGAGUGGUGCUCUGCCAGGUCUGGACGUCUGGUCCAAUCAAGGGUAAAUGAUAUUGGGGCUCUUGUCGUGUGUUAAAUGGUCGCUUCGAAGGCUCUCAGGCUGAAAUGCCAAACAAUGUUGAUAGCUACCUCCACAUUAUGGAUAUCUGCGGUUUGCAGAUUAUAACAGCUAGCAGCAACGAUGAUACAAACGUUCUUUGAACUAGUCAACUAGCAACAAUGAGGUUUGCAGAUUUUGGUUUCCAUCACUCAAAGCUUCAGACAUACUAUUUAAAGCUAUAAACGGUCCGGCAGAUGAAAGCUCUUCAAAAUCUAGGGACAAUUCCGGCAGAUGAAAGCUCUUCAAAAUCUAGGGACAAUUCACAUCUUCAAUCUAAGAAUUGCUCGAGUUCUUAUCAAUUUUGUCAAAAACUAGAAGGAACCCUGUACCAGUUCACCUCUUGUCUCUUGCCUCCAAGUUCAGUUGAAGUCGAGCCAGAAGCCCAAAAGUAGACUUCCCUUCCACUGGGACAUAUGAUGCUGUAGGCAUCUCUAUUUUUUUUUUCACGCCAUUAAAGCUUCCUGGUUCUACAACCAUGGUUUCAAGUUGUUGGGCACUUACUAUGUCAUUAAGUGUAUAAUUAAUCUCAAAUUCCUAUCAACCAACGUACAUCAACAUAUAAAAAACUAAUGGAAUAUUCAACAAUGGUCAUGUGAUUAACUGUGUAAUGAUCUCAUAUUCCUAUCAGCCUACAUCAAUAUACAAAAAAUAACUAAUGGAAACUGAAAAAAAAAUAAAAAUGAACAAUCGAGCAAAGUGUGAAAUCUGCAUGUGAGGUCACAACAGGUAAAUUACCUGCCAAUUGCAUUAGUAAAGUAAUAUAGUUCUAAGCUUCUACUACUCUAAUAGGACACAACCAGAACACCACUUAAUUCAUUGAUGCCUCAUGAAUGAGUAAAGAAUUGUAUAUUUUCAGAAAUGAUAUGCCUAAUUACCUUCUUGUCAAAAAGGCGUUUACGGCCAUAUAAAGCAAAAUCAUAUUCAUAUCUAACCCCGGUAAAUCAUCGAACUUGCUCCUUUAAAUGGAUAAACUCUCUUAACCGUUAACAUUACUUGGAAAUUCAAAGGAAACUAGUCUUGCAUUAUUCAGUGUUAGAUAUUGUUGGCAGGCCUGAUUAGAACCCAAAAAAUGAUAGCAGUACAACAAUGGCGAAGAAGGAAACAGAGAUCACACACUAAUUCAACAAUAUUUUACUUCAUACAAUAUACCUAUCAACAAUAUUAUCAAAAUUUUAUCUAGCAAAAAAAUGUCCAUCUAAAGCAUAUUUCACCAGGAAAACCAUCCUCCAUCAAGUAUUUCAAACGAAGUAAGAUUUAAAGAGUAACAGUAGCCAAAAAAAUUUAGAAGACGAAGCAAUGGUGUAUUCGAUCUAAGAAUGCAAUUUUCGAAACAUACUGCUCUUGCCUUAUUCCUAAUGUAAAUAGAUAGAUAAUAUAAAGAAAACACAUACUAGUCUCAUCUGCAUACUAAUCAAGGGAGAAACUCAGAUCAACACUCAUUUGGUAGUCAUCAGUCAUCAGUGGAAUCAUUUGGUAGUUUUAGGACCUUAAUAUCAUCAACACAUCUCUUGAGCAAAUUCCCUUUUAGAUCAAGACAAAAACAUUGCCGGAGAUCAAGAUACUCUAAAUGUGGACAUCCAUCAAGAAUGGCUUCCAACCCAUCAUUUGUUAUUUUGUUUCCAACAAGACUGAGACUUAGCAAUUCAGGCAUGUUGUUUGCAACAGCAUAAGCUUCCCUGUUAAACUCGUCCUCGUCAAUAUCUGAUUCCAAAUGCUUCUCACCCUCAUACUCCAAUCGAAAGGAUUUCAAUAAAGGGCAAGAAAGAGCCAGAGUUUCAAUUGUUUCUUCAGUGAAACAACAACAACUCAGUACAAUCUCCUCUAAGAAAGGGUUAUUCUCAAGUAGUUUAAUCAAAACAUAAUCUGAAACUUGAUAACAGUCUACAAGUCGAAAACAUCUUAACGAAAAAGGAGAUUGAUGAAUGAUAUGAUAAACAAGCUCGUUAGUACAAAAAAACUCAAUAGAAAAUUCUUCCAAAUCCCCAUUACAUCUACUCAAUGCUUCUUUAGCUAAUUCCUCAAACUCAAAAUAAGAACCUGGGUCAUAAGCAGCAUCACCAGGGUCAGACAAGCCACGCCAUGGGUUUCGCAGAUCGAUACAACGAAAGAAUUGUGGCUGUUUGGCAAGUUUUCGCCAUGGAGAACAAACCCUUUGAGCACGAAAGAUCAAAUCAAUAGCCCCAAGUUUCAUAAAGAUGAGAUCCAUAACAUCUUGAGGUAAGUCUAACCAGUUCCUCAUUUCUUUUGCAUUCACAGACUCCAUGUGAAGAAGGAACUGAUCACUGAUGAUGAGAAUUGGGAGUAAAGAAAGCAGUUUUAAACUAAAUUAUAAGAUUCCAGACCCAAUUAUUUUAGCCUAUAAUUCAGGAAACGAAGAUCCCUCCAAUCCUCGUUUUCGAUUUCACGUAUGUUUCGCCUAACCACUCUCCUCGUUUUUUCUCAAAAUCUCAUGAUUUCCGGGAUUCUUAAAUACAGUCUACUUGUACACUGUAAACAGUUAGGGCAGGAAACGGAUCGGAUACGUAUCCGAAAUUUUUUCAGUAUAUCCGUUUCCGGAAUUUUCUGUACCAUAUCCAUAUUUGAUUAUCCGGAUUCGAUAAUCCGUUUUUAAUUUGGAUCAAAUAUCCGAAUGAUUUGAUUUUUUGUAACUAAAAAUUAAAUAUGAGAAAUUAUAAUAAUUUUUUUAAAAUAUAUUUGGAUUUUAUAAAUAAAAAAUUUAAAUUAUUAGGUUUUUAUUUUUAUAUAUAAUUUGAUGACCAUAUUAGCCUUGUAAAAAUGGUAUAUUAUUUGCAUAAAAGCAUAGGUGAAAAAAUCGUUUAGGGGCGGAUAUCCGAUCUGCCAAAAACCGGAUUAUUCCGCGGAUAUACGACCUCCCGUGUCGGAUUUUUGAGGUUUGGCAAAUUCAAAAAAACCGGAAUUUUUCGCGGAUAUUCGCGAAAAAUUCGGCAAAUUGGAAGGUUUUCUGCACUUUCCGUGUUUUUUUUUCUGAUUUCGAUAUAUAAACUUAUAAUUAAAAGAAAAACAUACAUUACAAAUUAAACACACGACAAAUCAUACAAGGAAGCUAAGACGGAACUAUUACACAAGAUAGUUUUACUCAUAGGUGAAAAAAUCGUAAAUAUCGGGCGGAUAUUCAUAGAACUUUUAUAUGUUUCUAAUACAAGAACUAAACACAAACAACCUCAUUACAACUCAACCUAUAGUUUUAUUUUAAUAAUUAAAAUAAAAGACAUGCUAACCCCAGAAUGAUAGACGCCCCUUGUCAAACCGAUGAGCUUCGAGUCGCAUACGUGUGGGGACGAACUCAGUACAGUAAUAUUCCCAUGACAUUGUUUGCUCGUACGACCUGAAUUGGUCAAUAUGCAUAUCAUAUGCAUCUUGAUCCAUACAAUACGGAGCAAAUGAUUCAAAGAUAGGAAAUCUCGAGUAUUGUUGAACCGGCAUUAAUGUAUCGGCUGACUGCACGUCGGACCCACUUGUCAUUGGGGCCAACAAACUCCCUAUAUUAGGAAACCAAGAACCACUGUCAUCUGGUUGGGUUUGGUAGGAUGGUACACUGGAAUCAUCACUUUGGGAGGUUCCUAUGUUACCAUAAGAAAAAUGAGGGUAAACAUAGGUAGGUUGGAUGUUGGUUUGAGAAUAAGGGAGGUGCUUGGAUACCAAUUAUUCAUUACACAAAAACAAACCUUGGAUACAAACAGUAUACUGGUUUGCCAAAAGUGAGAGAGAACUUCACUUUGGCAUGGGCGUGCUUUUUUUUCGUUUCUUUCUGAUAUAUUGCUCUUGGAGGGCUAUCAAGUUCGUCGCGAAAGUUUCCAAACGUCUAGUGCCUUUUGGACCUUCUUUGAUAAUCUCAUCGAAAAUUCUAGUUCGGGGGGAUUAAAAAUAAAGGUGUUAAUUUUAUAAUCGAAAAUUUCAUAAAUUUCGAUAAAUAUCGGUUUUUGCCGAAUUAUGCCGCGAAUAUCCGAUAAAUGCCGACCGGCAUGGGGUGUUUUAAAAUCCGUUUAUAUGCCGUAUGCCGUACCAUGUCGAUCUCCAAAAAAAUGGAAUAUAUCGCGAAUAUCCGGUCGGCAAAAACGAUUUUUUCACCUAUGCAUAAAAGUAUAAAUCUGGAUAUAUCCAAAUUUUAUCCGUAUCCGAGCUGGUCAAAAUAUUAUAUCCUUAUCCGUAUCCGAAUUCAAAUCUGGAUAAAUUUUUUGAACCAUAUCCGUUAUAUUCGGAUUUCGAUCGGUCGAAUAUUCGGAUAAAUCCGACCCGAUUUCCUGCCCUAGUGUAAAGUCUGUAACUCAUCAGUCUUUAAACAGAGAAAAUUUGGGGUUUGGAUCAAAUGUCAAACCCAACCCAAAAACCUAGCUACUACAUUUGACAAACGACAAUCAACACUAAAUUCUUGCCCUCUAUUAAAAUGGCCCUGCUGAUGAAAAAUGAUUAUCUCUAUUAUGUGACUUUACAAAGUGCAGCAGUAUAAUGUUAAUGCCUAUUGCAGUAGUUGAUUGGCGGGCAAACGAUAAUUUUCAGUGAACUUGAGGUUAGGCGAAAUCCAAUCAUAUUUAUUGUUGCAUCAGAUUUAUAAAGUGUACUGCUAAUGAAAGCUCUUCAAAAUCUCAUCACUGAGAGACUGCUCGAAAAUAAAUAUAUCGAUCACUGAUCCAAGGUUAUUUUGAUAUAAUUCCAUGGGAAAACUUAUAGGGUGUAGUAUGAUCCAAGGUUAUUUUGAUAUAAUUCCAUGGGAAAACUUAUAGGGUGUAGUAUGAUCCAAGGUUAUUUUGAAAUAAUUCCAUGGAAAAACUUAUAGGGUGUAGUAGUUUUUAAUUCUUACUGGGUGAAUAUAGUAGUAGUUCUUACUGACGUUAAUGCUCUUGCCUCCACUUUCAGUUAAAGUCAAGCCAGAAGCCCAAAAGUAGACUUCCCUGUAGGCAUCUCCAUUUUUUUCACAUCAUCGAAGUUCAGUCCUGCUUCUACCACCAACCAUGGUUUCAAAUUGUUGGACACAAAGCCACAAACCAUGUCUGUACUUAAUCUCAUAUUCCUAUCAGCCUACAUUGAUAAUGUAUAUAAUAUACAACCGUGAUACUGUGGAGACCAACAUUAGGGGAAGAGAGAGCCAGAGAAAAGAUAAGAGAUUUCAAAAAACAAAAAAAAGACGGACAAAAAAAAAAUUAAAAAGGGAAAAAAGGGACAAACACAAGUUUGAGUUCCACCUGACUCUAAAUGAACCUCCGAACGUUGGUCGAUAAAACAACCAACGGAAACUGAUAAAAAAUGAAUCAACAAUCAGGCAAAGUGUCAAUCUGCAGGUGAGGUCGCAACAUGUAAAUUACCAAUUGCAUUAGUAAUAAAGGAAUAUAGUUCUGAGUUUCUAUUUGGACACAAUCAGAUCAGAUCAGCGUUUAAAUUGGGUUCCUCAUUGCAGAUGGCCUUACACAAAUCCUAUUAUAUCCUUAAAAUUAUUUUUUUAAUGGAGAAUAAAUGAGGACAUUUUGGGAAUAAAUAUGUCCGAAAUAAACGGACCCUAAAACAUGAGAAACAAAAUUUCUUUUGACUGAAGUCUAUUUAAUCAAAUCUCCUUAAACCCUUCUCCCUCCUCUCUUCUGAUUUCUUCCUCUUCGUUCGCCAUGGAAGAAGAUGACGUAGAGAAAGCUGUAAUGGCUUAUUUGAAGAAGAAAGGCUUUAAAGCAACUGAACUCGCAUUACAAGAAGAACAGAGUAGAAAUUCAUCUUCUUCUGCUUCUAAAACUGAUCCCGAUAUUGCCAAGCAGAUUCUCUCCUUCGCAGAGUACUCUCCCUUUAUCUCUCUCUCUACUCUCUUAUUGUUUUUCUUUUAUGUUUUUCUCUUUGGUGACUUUAUGUGUGAACUAUUAAUUGGAUAAUUAGGAAGAUAGUAUACUAGGGUUUUGAAGUUUUGUUGAAAUAGAUCCAAUUUUAGACAUUAUUGCAACUAUAUUGAGAUCAAGGAGAUUGAAAAGGUAUAAUUUUGCGUCUUCUGUUAAAAAUCCGGUGGUCCAAUUACCAAAAACUUCACUUUUGAACUUAAUUGGAACUUUGGGUAUAGCUGUAUUGCUUAAAAAUCUAUCAUAAAAGUAAAAAGAAGAAGAAUGUGAGGUUAUUUGUGUUUAAGUUUUCAUUGUGACCAAGGGAUGAGGUCUUAAAGGCUAGCAAAAUUUUCAUCUAGAUGACAUGUAAAAUGGCCCCAACAUCGCUAGGACCAGGGAAAUGAAUAAGGGUCGGAUUGGCCAACUUCCCAUAUGGCGCUGAAAGGGAACAUGUUUAACAAUCAUCGUCUAAAAUGUGGAGGAAUAAAAGAAGAAUAAAGAAGAGAGAUGAUGAGUUAGACUUCACUGUUUUCUAGGGUUUGUUAUUAUUGUAGCCCCUUCCUCCAUUAUUAGAGGUAUUUUCGUUAUUGUUGAAGGUUGGAGAUUCUUUUUAGCACCUUGCUGAAAGGUGAUCCUCCCCGUCAUGUACGUAAGUUCUGUUAUGCUGUGGUAGUUAAUGACCAAAAUGACAGCUCUUUCAACUCAUGAGAGAUGAUGUUGAUCUAGGCCCAGGAAGUGCCUAAUUAAGAGUAUGUCCUUCAUUAUAAGUUCACUAGAGAAAAAUAUAUUACAAACAAUAAAGGACUAUUUCCAAGCUUCUGACACCUAUCAAAAAUAUUAUGCCAGUAAUAGACAUACUUUUAAGUUAUCAAGUUUCUAUACUACACCAAGAUACGUUCCAGGGAAGUUACUUCCACUUAAAUGUAGUUCAAAGACAUCUGGUUCUCUCCUUUGGGGCCUAUUUCCCUUUGCCAUUGUCUGCCUGUCAGGAGUGCUCAAUGUGCAUCCAAUUUUAGGAGAGACAUGUUCUUUUAGAUGCUCUAAUUCUCUUGGAGAAGGCCAUUCUCUGGACUGGUAUUUCAAUCACAGCGAAAGGAAGGAGGUUUGAUGCACUUAUCUUUCAAUGGGAUAGUUUACUACUCAGUACAACAAUACCACAUGCCUCUUACGUUCCUCGUCUUACUCUAUUGUCUAUUGCUGUGUAAUGGAGUAGGGUGAACCCUUCCUUCACCUCUACUUGUAUAUUUGAACCUACUAAUACAGUGUAAAUAAGUGUGAUCCUUUAAUACCUACACAAAAAUUUUGCAUCACAUUUCAGUAGAUGCUAUUCAAUAUUUCAUCCCGUGUUAUAAAAAAAGGAAGUGCCAUUGUUGAGGCUACACUGUUGUUAUCUAUCCUGCAGCUGCAGGAUUUAUAGUCAGCAGACUUUCAUUUGUAGACUGUUUUUUUCCUGUACUUGUUUAUGUUGUUUUCCAAUUUAUGGGCAGCUGGUACAAGUUUCUCUCACCUAACCUAUUUGGCUGUAAUACACUAAUACUUUCUUUAAAGGCGAAUAAGAGUUCUGGUUAGCCUAACUAUAAUGAUCUUCCCAAGUCCCUGUCUCCCCGACAGUCCUUGGCGCUGACUACACUAAUGAUGUUCUUGGGGUGUAGUUGAAACUUGUUACAUUUCCGUGGAAAGUCCUGUUUUCAUGUCAUUAUGUAAAUAAAUGAUAUAGUGAACGAGAUUUUUGUUCUAACAAUGGAGUUGAGUCAUAACUGUAUAUGGGGGAAAGCCUUUUUGGUGCCCAUUGUUGGUCUGUUAGUAGAAUAAGUUUUCGUGAGAACAUACUGUAGCGACACACUGACACUAUUAUUCUUUUCUGAAAAUAUAUUUUUGGUUGUUGAAUUAGUCAAAUGUCUUUCUUGGUAUAAAUUCAUGUUCGUUUGCUCGACUUGUUUAUUAUCAUUCCUCAGGGAAUCCCCAGACUGUUCAGGAAAUUUUGACCAUUAUCUUUUUCAUUCCAUAAGAUGACAGAAUAUCAUAUUAUCUGCCUGCUUUCCCAGCUGACUUCUAUGUUUAUUAAUCUUGUUGUUUAUUUUAUUAUAAUGAUAUUGCACAUUUCUACAUUUUUAAUGGGUGGUUUAAAUUUCAGAUCAGAGAAUGGUCCAACACGAUACCAUGAUGGAUACAGUAAGCUUAGGUCAUGGACAUAUAGUUCAUUGGAUUUGUACAAGGUAAUCGUUAGCAGCUUAUGACUUUUACUACUGGAAAUGAAGUCAGUUACCCUAUGAUUCCUAGUUAUUUCCUACAUUUGAAAUAUAAAAUAUUUUCAUGUACUUUUAGUUUCAAUUUGAUCAAAUAAUGGAUUAUUAAAAUUCCUUUCAUGAACUAUAAUCUAUAGGCCAUGGUCUGGUUUUUGUUAGAUGCCUUAGUCCAAAUCCCCUUAUAUUAUGCUGUUAUGUAUGUGGAGUUUGAUUCAUUGUGUACCUAUGUAUGACUUUUGCAGCAUGAAUUGCUACGUGUGCUUUAUCCAGUAUUCAUUCAUUGUUUUAUGGAUCUUGUGGCAAAAGGGUAUAGCCAAGAAGGUAUACUUCAAAUUCUUUGGAAUUCAUAUUAUUGUUUUCACUAGACAGAAAUAUUCAGAUCUAGUGUUAAUGACACUCUUCUUAUGUACAAAUUGAAAACCAGCACGUACUUUUUUCAAUAGCUUCCGAGAAGACCAUGAAUUGAUGCACUUGCGGGAUCUUCAAAAGUUAGAAGGCGUACUCUGCCCCUCUCAUCUUGAGGUUGUCUUUUCCGUUGAACUUUUAUUCACAUUUCACACUGUCGUAAUUCAAAAUUUGUUUAUAUAUUGUAAUCAUUUGAAUUUGCUGUGCCUGUUUCUACUUGGCAGGAGAUGGAAUUCGCUCAUUCUCUUAGGCAGAGCAAGGUCAACAUUAAAAUAUGUCAGGUGGUCUUCACUUAUUUAUUCUUUUCCUGAUUAUUUGUCAGGUGGCCUUUCAAUUCUUCUCAUUUCAUAAAAAUUCUGCAAUGCUGAAGGUUUCUUUUUGUCUUCAUUGUCAGUAUUCUUAUGAGCUUCUUCUGCAAUACCUACAUAAGACACAAUCCAUUACAAUGCUUGGAAUAAUCAACGAGCAUAUUAAUUUCCAAGGUAUGAGUCUGUACCUACUAUAUUUGUUUUGCAUUUAUUAAGUUACAUUUGCAAGUGUUUUCUCCUUGUCAAUCAAUGAUGCCGAUGUUGCACUCUAAACACUGGUUGACAGUUUCUCCUGGACAGCCCAGCUCCAUUUCUGACGAUGCGGACGCGGUAAUUCUAGUGGGGAGUAGCCAAGAUGCAGCGAAGCAGAUAAAUGAGAAAGAAAUACAUUGGGGGGUGAGUCUUUAAAUAACCAGUCAGCAAGUACAUUCUUUUGAUAAAAAAAAAAGUAAAUCCUUUUUAGCAAUAAUGAGAAUAGGUCAAAGCAUAGCUUCUAGUCAAUCCUAGUUAUAUCUCUGUGAUUAUGGACAACUGCGCCUUUGAAUUGUUAGUGAAAUACUCAUCCAAGUCGAGUUCAGACUGUUCCAACAUUUUACUUGUACUAGUUGUUUAGGCUUGUAUCAGUAGUAGGCCCUUGGCUGCUUUGCUUUGGCAAGACCUCUAUGAGAUCCUCCCUCUCUGGUCGCACCUUCUAGCUUUGUAAACUUGUCAUUAUCGAAUAAAGGUUUUACUUAGGCUAAAACAAGAGAUGAAAAGGAUAUGUUGCAUGUAGGUAACAAGCGAUCACGUUCAUUUGGAAAAAAAUUGGUAAUGGAAAUGAGGUACAUGUUAAUCUUAAUAUAUCUAAUUAACGUGACACAGUUGUGUGUCUGUAAGUUAGAAGCAGAUAAACUUGAGAAAAUAUACUUUUUUUGAUUGGCCUAUAUUUGUUUCUAGACUCCAGAGCAGUAAAGUAUCAAUUCUCUUCUCACUUUUCACUUCAAGCAUUCUUGGGAAAACUCAUCGCUUAGAGUAGUUAAUCCAAAGGAAACAUGGAGCGUUGUUGUUGACUGAAAACAUUAUGUUUUCUUUUUCUCUUACUGGGUAAUGCCACAACCAAUAUGAAAUUUUGAAUAAGUACCUUAAACUAAUAGAGAAAUGUUCCCUGUUCAUCGUCUUCUUCAAUAUAAUUCUAGGCCUGAGAGACGAACACGCAAAUAAAGAACAGAGAAAUGGAAUUUGUAAUAUUCUAUCAAAUUAUGUACUCAAAUAUUUGUAGAAAUUAUUAAAUAAAAAUUGAAAGAGAAAACAUCCUUUACUUUAGUCAUUUGUCUGACCUAUUACCACAUGUUAGUGUUUUUGCGUAGUACAUUCUCGAUUCUUUUUUGUUUUGUUUAUCAUAAGUGUAAUUUCUUUUAAACUUCAGAGUGGAUGAAUAGAAAAUCAGCUGUCAAAUUUUGCCAAUCUUCUUUGGGAAGAAAUCAAUGUAGUUGUUGUCACAAUUUUAUCAUUUUCUGUUUCUUUGUAGUUGCUUGAAGAUUCUGUUGAAGACCGCCUGGAGAAGGCAGGGGCUUUGAUGUCAGAUUCUGAGAAAAUCGAAGGGGAAAAAGAGGUGGACUUGGAUGAGAACAAGGUAAUUUAUCGAUUAUCUGGAAAUUUCAGAACUUUUAAAACUUGAAACUUCAUCCAUUAUGGUUCAUCAUUGAUGACACAAUGGUUAAAUGCUUCUCCAACUUUUGUUUUCUGUUAAAAUCAAACUUUGUUUUGUUCUUUCCCAUCUAUGUUGUUCCUUAAAAUUGUUAUUUAUUCACGCCUAUCUCUCUUUUUACGUUGUGUUUUUCCAGAAGAGAUCAGUGGAUGGUGGAAAACAAGGAUCAUCCGUGAAGAAAUUGAAAAAGGACAAGAUUGUUGGAACCACAGGCAAAAAUGUUCGCUCGGAGACGAACACUGUAUCCAUGGCACCUCGAGUCAAACCAGAGCUUACCUUGCCUGUAUUGUAUGGACCUAAUUCUUCUAUCUAUAGUUUACCCACAUAUACAUAUACGAGUAUGACAUAGCUUAUGUGACAUUUCUCAUCAUGUAAUGGUUUAAGUUUGCUUGCUACUUUUUUAAUCGAUAACAUGUAUUUUCGUUAUGAGUCAAAAGUUAUGACACACAUGUGGCUCUCCCUCCACUGUCCACACCCAUAAGUGAGAAACUAGUGGGAUGUGACCCUAGUUUAUAGAACUAGUAAAAAUUACAUAUUACACUAUGAAGGCAUCCCAAUUAAAGAUAAAAUCUAGGAAAGCAUCCCUUAUGACAAUCAAAGUGGGCUAUGCGGGAUGUAUAAAUAUAUGUUGUGUUUGUUAUCCUUGAUCUUCUGUUACACAGAUCUUUAAUAUAAAUAGGAAUUAGCGACCAUUUGUUUUGAUAAUUCUUGUCAUGUGAUUACAAGGUUAUAUGCCUGAAGUUGUUUCCACUACCAUACUUAUACCGGAUGUAAAAUGCAUGUAUCCUAGAAGAUAAGUAGAAAUAUAACAUGUAUUAUGUCUUUGCUAUUUUUACUCAUGCAUUUGUUAAUUGCUUUUCAGAUCUACGGAAGUAGAACAUUCCAUUCUUGAGGACCUUAGAAACCGUGUACAGCUGGGUAGUGCGGCGCUACCAUCAGUUUGUUUUUACACUUUUCUUAACACACACAAUGGGUAAUUUAGGAACCUCCAUUUAACAUUGUCCACACAAUAUUUUUUUCUUCUCUUUUUGUUAGUACUGUUCCUAAUGUUUACCUUGAUAUUUUUGUAGUUUAAACUGUUCAUCGAUAUCUCAUGAUGGUUCACUUGUUGCUGGUGGAUUCUCGGACUCCUCAUUGAAGGUUCUUUAAUUUCCUAAUGUAACAUUAGCUUAGCACCAUCAAAGGUCCAGUUAUUAGAUGUCCCAUUAUCACUUGAGGCUGGACUGCUAGAAUUCUUGUGGAGUUCACUAAUGUUAUAUUUGUCUUUACGCAGGUGUGGGAUAUGGCAAAGAUUGGACAAUGUGAGUAUCUAAGAUAAGGCUUUCUUUUAUGGCAAAGGGGCAAAGAUCUGCAAUUUUUUUGUUAAUAAAAAAAUUAAAACUAUUUUCAGCCAUUUAUUGUGUUAGUGCUGGAAAAUAUUAGCUAUGUAUUAUUUGUGAGUUCAAUUAAUACUCUUAACAGUUAUCGAGAUCAAAUAACAGAUUGUAGAAAUUUGCGAAAAAUUGUUCUGUUCAUUUUCUCGACAGAUUCAUAGGUGCUUAGGUACAUGAAUAUAUAUAACAAAGCUCAGGUAAUUUACUUUUUAGAAUCACAAAAUAAUGUUAAAUACGUCCACAGCUGAUUGUUUGACAAUAAGUUUCCUAGCGAUCCCAUUCAACCUCGCUUGCGAACCAAAAAAAAUAAAAAAAUCUACCACUUACGUAGGGAUGCUUUUUUUACAUGGUUGUCAGCUACUGCAUACACAGAAAUUGAGAUUCCGACUGAACAGUUGUUAGUGUAGACAAUGAGAACAGAUCUAGCUGGUCUAGGGACAUGCUUGGCACCUUUUUUUGCUAGUUUUAGUCUCCUUGUGGAUAAGCUACCACUUCCAAAGAAGUAACAGUGUAGAGACUGCGAGAACUGCGCUAAUCAUUACACAGUCACGCAUACAGAUAAUGAGACCUAGGUCCAAUAUUUAUAAUACUCCUAAAAGUUGAGAUGUCUUUUCUAUUUUAUUUUAUUAAACUAUUGGUGACAGCUACUGUGCAGGGAGAAAAUGGGACUCCAACUGAACAGUUGUCAGGGUCAGAGAAUGGGAGAAGAUCUUAUACUUUGCUUCAGGGACAUGCUGGACCCGUUUAUUCUGCUACGUUUAGUCCUCUAGGGGAUUUCAUUCUUUCUUCUUCAUCAGAUUCAACCAGUAUGUAAUCACUUACCCAUUUUGUGCGAUCUGCAUAGUUUACUUUUAGUUUCAAUUUUAGUAUUGAAGCUACCUUUUGGUAUGCCAAGUGACAAAAUCAAUUCGUUUGCUACAGUUCGGUUAUGGAGCACAAAGUUGAAUGCGAAUCUUGUCUGCUACAAAGGUCAUAAUUAUCCUGUUUGGGACGUUCAGGUAUAAAUUUAAUCUUAUGUUAUAUGUUAGCAGCUUUGUUAUCAUAAUUUUAUGUUGUUAGAAUUGGUAUCUGCACUCAUUUACUUUCAUUACAUUGAAACAGAUUUUGAUAUUUCUCUUUUGUUUGUUUUGGUUGCAGUUUAGUCCUAUGGGACAUUAUUUUGCCAGCUGUUCGCAUGACCGGACUGCUAGGAUUUGGUCCAUGGACAGGAUCCAGCCUUUAAGAAUAAUGGCAGGGCAUUUAUCUGAUGUUGAUGUGAGCGAUUCUUCACAAUUUGAAAGCAGAUAUAUCAUUUUUUUAUUACUUCCAGAAUAGCUGCAUGAUGGCCUUCUUGAUUUGUUUCUUUAACCAUCGAUUCAAGCACAUAUUUUAUUUAUGUGGCCCUUCAGCAAUAUGUUCUGCUUCUUAAAUAGCUAUUUAUCUCAAUCUUUUAAUUGUUUUCUUAUUGUCAAAUUGAUUCAGUGUGUCCAGUGGCAUGCAAACUGUAACUACAUUGCUACUGGUUCUAGUGACAAAACCGUUAGGUUGUGGGAUGUGCAAAGUGGGGAGUGUGUACGGAUCUUCAUUGGCCACAGAAGCAUGGUACUAUCUUUGGCCAUGUCCCCUGAUGGACGUUAUAUGGCCUCAGGUGAUGAAGAUGGCACAAUUAUGAUGUGGGAUCUUUCAAGUGGUCGUUGUAUUACACCUUUGAUGGGGCACACCUCCUGUGUUUGGACACUUGAUUUUAGGUAAGUAAUUUUGUUGUAGUCUACUCUGUUAACAAAUUUUGGUUACUUCAUUGUUUAAUCAAUCCUUAUAACUUAUCAGUGGUGAAGGUUCACUUCUGGCUUCUGGAUCUGCUGACUGCACUGUCAAGUUGUGGGAUGUCACUUCUAGUACGAAAGCACUAAAACUGGAUGAAAAGUAAGCUAAAUAACAAUAAACGGUCUGUUUGCAAGUUUCAGUCUUGUUUUCGUUAUGAAUAUUUACAGCUUAAACAAUAAUUCUGAUUGACAGAGCGGGAACUACAAACAGAUUAAGAUCUCUAAAAGCUCUACCAACCAAGAGUAGUCCUGUAUACUCAGUGCGGGUAAAGGAGUUGAUAUUAAUAGUAUAUCUUGUUUUACAAUGCUCUAUCAAAUAGUAUUUAAGGACUAAAGGUAAUUAUCUGCUGACGUUUAGUGUUUUGGUCGCAGUUCUCUCGAAGGAAUCUUUUGUUUGCUGCUGGAGUGCUCUCCAAAAGUUCAUGAUAGGUGAAACGGUGUUACGAUUUAUGAGUUAAAUCAGGGUUGGUGAUUUCUUUCCUCAAAUCAUUUUUUAACUGAUAUUACUUCGGUUCUUCUUCCCUUGCCUGUUCUGAUGCUCUUCCCCUGAUGUAUGGACGUAUGGGUUUAUCUUUAUUAUUCUUGAUAAAUAAUAAUAUUAUUAGAUCAGAUUAUUAUCGCACAAGAAAAUGGGACACACUAAAUGACACAGAACUUUCCAACUCUGUCAGAUGUUAUUUUGGACCUUUUUGGUUCAUUUGAAGGUCCGCAAUUUUCUAGUUUUUGUGAUCUUCUAUUGUCAUUAGACUUUGGACAGGCCGAUUUGGUAGGGAUGAUUUCUAUGGUGACGAGCCAUUUCCACCGCCAAUAAGCCUAUACAAUUUUCCAUGUGGGUACACUAUAGUGUUCCAUUUCAAGUGUCAUAUUGCUGUUACGCGAUAAUCUGACCCUUUAGUUAUUCUGCAAUAUAUGGGUUCUGUUUCACUGUUUGACAUGGGGUAAUAUAUCAUUAACAAACUCACCCUUUUUACAGCUCUGCUAGUUAAAUCUUUACUAAAUUGAGAUCGUAGCCACUGUGUUGUAGGAGACUCUAAUUUGAGUAAGAAGGCGAUUUACUAGGAAUCAACUUUGUUUAAUUUAUUGUUGGAGUUGAAUAUACUUUUUAAACAGAAAAAGAAAAAUCUAAUUGAGAUCAAUUGUCAAAGAAAGUGUUUUUCCUUGCAUUAUUUCUCCAUUACUUUAACAGGCUUUUGCCAUUGUUUUGAGCAAUGGCUCAUUUUGAUCUAUGGUUACUUGUAGACAAGUUGUAUGAAUCGUGGAUUGUAAUUAAGAAUUGGUUCCACAGGAUCAUUGGAAAAACAGAAGUGCAAGGUGAUGCCCAUGGGUCCGGCUUGGCAUAGCUGCAACAGGUGCACUCAAAAUGACUACUAGCGUAUGAGGACUGGCUGUGCAUGAAAUCAGUGUGCUCAGACUAGUCAGACUUUGCAAUGUCCACAAUGUCCAGCUCAGUGUUGAUUGUGUUUGCCUUGUUGCUGUUUUGAGGAAAAUCAUGGGAAUUCUGGAUUGUAUAUGAAGUAUUCUGAGUUCAGUUUAAGAUUAUUCAUCUUUGCCUAAAUUGUUUGCAAGUGGGAACGAAAUUGCGAUUUGGGAGUAUUGUAGGUAUUCUCUAAGAAUUAUGUAUCUUUACAAUUUACAUUACAUGUGUACAUAUUGAUACUUGAUAGUGAGCAAUUGGGGAUGCUCUUCCAGUCCUUCCCUUAAAAGGCUAAAAUCCUCCUAAAGAUUUUGUAACAUAUUUUUACACCUAAAAUGCUUAGAAUUUUUUUUUAUUUUUAUGAUAGUGAUAUGUGAUGGCCUAUGAAUUUGAAGCACCUUAGUACCAGGACAUGCACAAUGUUAUAGAGUGGCCAACAGGCAGCAACUUACUUGGUAGCGAAAAUCUGAAUAAUUAUGACAAGCUUUUAAGGCCUUAAGCCUUUGUACAAAAAGGAUGAGCAAAAUACUCUGGCUUCUAAGUAAAUUUCUUAUCUAUGCUUCAAUCCAUCAACAGUUCCAAGUGUUCAACUAUAAUUUAUCUUUCACAAACUUGCAGCUGCACACUUCUUUCAAAUGUAAGAACUAAACAUAGCAUAUUCAGCUGUACCAUGAGCCACCAAGUUUUACCAUACUUCUUAACAGCUAAUACAAGAUGGUUCUAUACUUCUAAAUCAACUAAGAACUCAAAACACUAGAAAGCUAGCUAGCCAGCUAGGUAGCAUGAUCAUUCCUAAAGCUAACUAGGUAACUAACAUUCUUAACUCACUCUGUCAUCUCUUUUUGAUUAUGUUUAAAUGUAAUGAUUUUGACCUUAUAUUAAUGUAGUGAGCAAUGGAUAUUUAUUGUUUGAAGAAAUGUCUGAAUGAUAUUUUUUUCUCUGUUUAAGAAUUUGUAUAGAGUUGUUAUAGGGAAUUUGUCUGAAUUUUUUUUGGGAUUGAUGUCAAACAAGUUAAACUCGAUUAAGAGGGUUUAGAAGUUUUAGUGCAGAAAACAACGUCUCAACUUGCCGAAGCUCGCUUGUUGCCAUCAUUGAGCUGCUGCAUUUGGUUGAAUGGUUUCUUUAGAGGGCUUUGGUUACCAACUUCACCUUAAGAAUCUUUGUAUCAUUCCCAGCUUUUACUCCCACAACUAUACUGUAUAUAAUUUUAACUUCAAUUAUAGUACAUAUGGACUUGAUCAUGUAGACUAUACUGAUUAUGACUGAAUGCUGACUUUGUAGUUUUCACAAUUUGUCAUUUGGGUAACAAACAUGACUUUGCUAGACCAGGAGACAGAGCUUGCUCUAUUAUAGUAAAUCCUUGUUGUGUCCAUGACACUUGUUGCUUCAAUGGUUGAAUUUAUGUCGUAAUUUGUGAAGGAUCACUUGUUAGUGAUAGAUUUGAUAUUGUGGAAUAACAUGGUGAGCUGCAGUAGGCUGUUAGGAUUUUACAUUGUAAAGCGACACUUCUCACUUAUCAAAUUUCAUAAUGGGAUAUAUUUGGACGAUUUUUAUUAAUGUGUUCAAGUUAUAUUUUACGCGACUUAUUUUUGAGGAUGAUGCUCUCUUCGUAGAAGUGAAAUGUCAUUUUCCUUACUGGCCUCCCUGGUUGUUAUAAAUCUAUGUUGGAACAAAUUAAUGGUUCGUUGGCUCUGAUAUGGGAAUCUUCAAUCUUGGAACUGAGAAGUUUGGACCUCUGUAGUUAUACAAAGGUGAUGACUGAUGACGUUGUUUCUGGGCUCUCCGCAAUUUUGGAUUGCAUCAAAUAAAAUGUACAGCAGGCAGUCAGCUUUAACGUUUAGAAAGUUGCUUUUCAUAUGUGACAGGUAUCGUGUAAACUUCUGUUUCCUUGAUGGUUCAAGUAUACACUAGUAAAAUGUCUUAAAACUCAGUGAGAUUUUGACUUCAAGCUUGUUUUGAUGCAUGGGCAUAUGUAGACAGGAAAGAGGAAUGGUCAUUACCGCUGAGUGCAACCUAUGGAAACGCCAUCACCUGUAUAUGUUGAAAACGCCAUUCACUAAUGUUUGUAAUUGUUUACUGUAUAUGUUUACUGAAAUACUGAACGUCAAUGAUCAUAGGUUUUGUUUUGCCUAUUUCCCAAUAAAAGUGCGUUUUCUGUGUUCCUGGUAAUUUAUUUAAAUAAUUAACCUACAUCACCUUAGAUAAAUAGAUAUGAUAAUAAUAAACUAAUAAAGAAGAAUAGAAAGCGAAAAAUAAAACAACAUGAACACACAGAUUUACGUGGAAACCCAUAAACAGGGAGAAAACCACGGCGCACCAAAGAUCCACUAUGUUCAAAGGCAAAAUUCAAGCAACAUUACAAAGAGGGAUUUGUGCUGCUGUUAAUUCUUAUGGGGUAGAGGCUAUACAUCAAUCAUUAUGUACAAAGUUUCUUAUGAAAACAUGUGGAAUUCAUGUCUUACGUACUCAAAAGUCCAUCAAUGCUUGUUGAUUACUGCCCAGAUAGCUUCAUCCCUCUUCAUUGAGAGAUCCAUCAAUGCUUGUUGAUAUUGUAAUUCUAUGUUUUCUAAUUGCUUUCUUAUUUCUUCGUCAUCAUCAUUGGGGUUAACUGAAACAACCACAGAAGCACUUUCAGUAGAGAUGGUUGAUACCAUCGACACAUCAGAAGCUCGAUGAUCUGUAUUAGGUUUAUGACGGGAUCCUUCAAUCGAACUCCAAUCAAUAGAAGGGGCAACAUGUAAUUGCUUGGCACUUUCAAGGUGGUUGUCAAGGAAUCCUUCAAUUUGUAGGAAGGGGUCUUUUAGAAGCUCUUUUGCUGACAACCUUUGAUCUUCUGAAACUAGACACUUCUCUAUAAACUGUUUUACUUCUGGAUCUUUCACUUUAGCGAGAGAAGCGGGUUUUUUCCCUAGUGAAACCUUCCUGUAUAUCUGCGCAGAAUUUUCACAUUCACUAUAAGGAUAUUCAAGAGUCACCAUCUCUAGCAGGCACAUACCAAAAGAGUAUAUAUCCGCCAACUCAGUGUAAUCUUCAUCGUAAACUUCAGGUGCAAUAAAAGCAGGCGUCCCAAUAACGCUGUGUUCCUUAGCUUGUUGCAUUAUUAUCGCAAACCCUAGGUCACCUAUUUUGACCUCACCAUGGUUGCCAUUAAUAAAAAUAUUAUCACACUUUACAUCUCUAUGAAUAACGGGUGGAUUCUGGCUAUGCAGAUAAUCUAACCCCAUCAAAAUCUGCCUCGCCCAUGCCUUAACAGCUUUAACAUCAACCUUCUUGUGUUUCCUUGUAUACUGUCUCAAACUCCCUGAUGUAAACAACUCAGUAAUAAUGUUAAUAGUCUUCUUCUUCUCAUCAAACCAAGAGUUGUAAAACUUGAUGAUAUUCUUAUGUUUGAAUGACUUCAACAAUCGAACUUCAUAAUCUAAUCUCUUUAAAUCUUCAGGUUUAUGAACAACUUCUUCAAUCAUUAUUUGACUCCAUGCAACUUCAAUUCCAUUAACUUCAUCAAAAGCUUUGUAAACUGUUUUGAAAGCACCUUCUCCAAGAACAUCUUUGAAACGAACAUAUCGACCAGUAGGAUCUGUUUCUACUACUAUAUCAAUCUCUUCUUCUUCUUCUUCAAAAUCUGGUGGCUCAUAGUCACAAACUUCAUCUUCACAACAUGAAUCCAUUGAAAAAAUCAAUGAACAAAAUCUGUUGGUAAUAUCUCUCCGACUCUCCCUAUAUAUAUACAUACACGGAUUAAGGAUUACUGAUUAAAAUAAAAUACUAAUGUUUUAAGAGUUCUAGGUCGUCUACUUCUCUGUAGAAGAUUACUAAUUAAGUAAUUAGUGAAAUACUAAACCUACCUUCAUUAGGCCUAAACAUUCAAGUCUUAAACAACCCUAAAUAUUGGUGGGUUUGAGCCCAUGGUCCCAAAGGCCCGGCGUAUCAAUUACUAGAUUACCAUAUUUUAAUCCAAGAUUAAUUUGUGAUACAGAAACACUAAAUAACACUUGUUACAAAAUAAUAUUUUCCAAUAGUUAGUUCUUUAUUUUAAUGUUUAAGACUCUGUUCAGUUCAAGAAGUGUGACAAUUAUUUGAUUUCUAUAAUACUUUAAGCUUCAUAAUAUAGCAAAGAUGUUUGGAAGCUUAAUGCCGGCUAAGACUAGGCUUAGUUAUAAUGUUGUAAUGUGUCCUGUUCCAAGAAUAGAGUAGUCAAUUGGCUUUGUGUAAGGUGUUCAUUAGUCGGCGAAUUUGGCGCAUGGUUUACAUAAAUUCAAAAUGUAUAAUUAAUUCUCUCCAAGAAAAGCUUGAGUAAAAUCACCUGAUAUAUGUGUAUCAAAUGGGAUAUUUAAUCGAAACAUCAUUGUUGCCGUCAGCAUAAAUGCAUGAACCAAACUAGUAGGACUCACAAGAAACUGAUAGAGGCUGAAAACAAGAUGGUUUUAGCUACUUUCCAUUCCCUUUAAUAGAGUAACAAAAACACUCUUGUUUUUCUUCAUUCAUUCUCUUCUCUCCUUAGUCUAUGUUUUUUUUUGGAGAAGAUUGAAGAGAACAUGGACGGGUUCCCAGAGAAGAGAAAGAUGAAGAAUCAAAAGGGAGGACUUAUAGCUAAGCCGAUAAUACGAAAGGGUGGUCUUAAAACCAUGCCUUUUAUCAUAGGUUUGCUGGUUAAUUAUAGAUACACUCAUGCAAUUGUUUCAGUGAGAAGGUUGUGUGUAGAUAUGUAUCAGACUUUCUUUCUUACUGCUUUUCUUUUUGUUUUCCACAGCAAAUGAAACGUUCGAGAAAGUUGCAACCUAUGGACUACUUGCUAAUAUGAUUAUAUACUUGAUAACUGGAUAUAACAUGGACAGUGCUACUGGAGCCAACGUUUUGUUCAUAUGGUCAGCUGUAUCUAAUUUCACUCCCAUUCUAGGAGCUUUUCUUUCUGAUUCUUAUUUGGGACGUUUUCGAGUUAUUGCACUUGGAUCAGUUGCCAGUUUUCUUGUAAGUAUGCAGUUUGAUUAUAUCCAACAUAUUAUUUAAAAUUUCUGUUAUACCGCUUGGUUUUUUUUUUAUUGAACUUAAUCAAAUUCUCUGUCUUAGGGUGGUACAUUACUUUGGUUAACAACCAUGUUGCCAGAAGCAAAGCCGACUCAAAGAGGCGAACAAGCAACGGCAGUCCAACUAAGUAUGUUAUUUGGUGCUUUUGCUCUAAUGUCUAUUGGAGCUGGUGGUAUUAGACCAUGUUCAUUAGCUUUUGGGGCUGACCAGUUGGAUAAAGAAGACAACAGCCCAGAAAAUGCAAGAGUAUUACAGACAUUCUUCAAUUUGUAUUAUGCGUCAGUCGGGGUUUCCAUCAUGAUUUCUGUGACUGCUUUUGUGUAUAUUCAAGAUAAAUUGGGGUUUAAAGUUGGGUUUGGAAUUCCUGCUGCUCUCAUGUUUUUAGCUGCAGUAUUCUUUUUAUUUGGUUCUCCAUUAUAUGUCAAGGUGAAGGCAAACAAGAGUCUGUUUACUGGAUUUAUUCAAACAGCUGUGGUGGCCUUUAAGAAUAAACAUCUUGCAUUCCCCCCUAACAAUACAGAUGGGUGGUAUCAUCAUCGAAAGGGUUCGAAGUUUGUUUCUCCAACAGAUAAACUUAGGUAAUCAUGAAUCGUUAUUAAACCAUUCAUUGUUAUAUCCAUCGUUGUUGUCGCCAUCUUAUGAUAUUUUUUCUCUUAAACUAAAUUUGUCCUAUGCGUAAUUUUUUUUUGCAUAAUUCUGAAGAUAUAAUCCAAACAAAUCAGUAAAAAAUUAUGAAGAAAACUUUUAACUUGUCCCGUUUUGGAUCUGACGACUCAGUACGUCCUGUCUGAGGUAUACAGAUUUGGUCGCGCUGAGUUGUCCUUAACGUAAAAGCUUGCUGAUAUUGUUUUGAAUAUGAAUGCGAUGUAUACUGUUUAAGAAUAACUUAAAAUGUACACUCUGUAGGUGGUUGAACAAAGCAUGCAUCAUUAGAAAUCCUGACAAGUACUUGAACCGUGAUGGAUUUGCUUCAGAACCAUGGAAACUGUGCAGAGUUGAGCAAGUGGAAGAGCUAAAAGCUCUUGUCAAAGUAAUGCCUCUAUGGUCUACAGGAAUUAUGAUUGCAGUAACAAUCAGCCAGCAUUCUUUCCCAGUACUUCAGGCAAGAACAAUGGACAGAAAAGUGACACCAAGCUUCGAAAUCCCUGCAGCAUCUUAUGGCGCCUUUGCCAUUCUGACACUGACAAUAUGGGUUGGUAUCUACGAUCGCAUUUUGGUUCCUCUUUUGGCAAGAUUGACUGGCAACCCAAGAGGAAUAGGCCUUAAACUUCGUAUGGGGAUUGGACUAUUUUUGUCAUGCUUAGCCAUGGCAGUAUCGGCUAUAGUGGAAAGCAAGCGAAGAGAAACUGCCAUUGCUCAAGGGUUAUUAGAGAAGGGAAAUGCACUUGUAAACAUAUCGGCAAUGUGGCUAGUACCACAACAUUGCUUAACUGGCUUAUCUGAGGCCUUCAAUGCUAUAGGACAAAUUGAGUUCUAUUACUCUCAGUUCCCAAAGAGCAUGUCUAGUAUUGGUGUUGCUCUAUUUGCUUUAGGCAUGGGAUUUGGUAAUUUAUUAGGGAGUCUUAUAGUAGAAGUUGUCGACAAGGUUAGUAGUAGAGGUGGAAGAGAUAGUUGGGUUGCAAGUAACCUUAAUAAGGGUAGAUAUGAUUACUACUAUUGGUUACUUACUUUGUUGAGUGUGGCCAAUCUUUUGUAUUUCAUAGUUUGUAGUUAUGCUUAUGGGAAUUGUGAGGAACAAAGAUCUAAGGUUUGGGAUGAAACUGAAGAAGUAAAUGAAGUAGACAUUUCUAAGUCCAAAGAACUGCCUCUGAUUGUUUCAGUUUGAUUUGAGGGUAUGCAUGGAAGUGGAACAAAGACAGCAAUUGGGAAACUGAAGAGUGACUGUACAAACAUUUUCUUUUCUUUUAAUUUACUUGUAUUAUGUUUUUUCUGCCAAUUGUAAGUCUACUUGAUUAGAACAAUAUGUAAUCCAAUUUCUUCAUCUUAUCUUCUCUCUUGAUUAUAACCAUUAUGUUGCAAGAUAUAUUUAGUCGACUUUUACAGAAAAAUGCUGGAUUAAAACAGGAAACGAGAUCAUAUGCCUUGCAUGGAGCAUAAACUAUAUGAGUGGACAUAUCAAAGUUGAAAUGUAAAAAUAAUAAUUUUCA